UACAGAGGGUGCAAGCGUUGUUCGGAAUUAUUGGGCGUAAAGCGCGUGUAGGCGGCUUUGCAAGUCGGGUGUGAAAGCCCUCAGCUCAACUGAGGAAGUGCGCCCGAAACUGCAGAGCUUGAGUGUCGGAGGGGAUAGCGGAAUUGCUAAUGUAGAGGUGAAAUUCGUAGAUAUUAGCAGGAACACCGGUGGCGAAGGCGGCUAUCUGGACGACAACUGACGCUGAGGCGCGAAAGCGUGGGGAUCAAACAGGG
rnacentral:rRNA from 1 species